UGCCAGACUCCUACGGGAGGCAGCAGUAGGGAAUAUUGCUCAAUGGGGGAAACCCUGAAGCAGCAACGCCGCGUGGAGGAUGAAGGUUUUAGGAUUGUAAACUCCUUUUGUUAGAGAAGAUUAUGACGGUAUCUAACGAAUAAGCACCGGCUAACUCCGUGCCAGCAGCCGCGGUAAUACGUAGGAGGCAAGCGUUAUCCGGAAUGACUGGGCGUAAAGGGUGCGUAGGUGGUUUGACAAGUUAGUAGCGCAACUCCGGAGCUUAACUUCGGAACUACUACUAAAACUGUUGGACUUGAGUGCAGGAGGGGCAAUCGGAAUUCCUAGUGUAGCGGUGGAAUGCGUAGAUAUUAGGAGGAACACCAGUGGCGAAGGCGGAUUGCUAGACUGUAACUGACACUGAGGCACGAAAGCGUGGGGAGCAAACAGGAUUAGAUACCCCGGUAAC
rnacentral:rRNA from 1 species